AUUGGUUAUUGCAUUUAGUAAUAGAGGUAAAUGCAGUGAAGUGUUAAUCAUAUUUACUAAUAAUUUGUAAUGCACCAACAUAUUCUGCAGCACUGUACAAUGACUAGAUAACUAGAUAAUUAUAAAUAAUAAUUCAACAUCUAUCAAUUUCUUCAUAUUGUUUAUCCUAUAAGCUUUCACGCAAGGCUACAAUUAACAAAUACGUGCAGCUAAUCCGCCUACCGCGGAAAAGGAGUGAUGUUCCAACAAACACCCCUUGCAGUGUAGCUGGAUGGGGAAGGCUCAAUAAUCAAAAUAAAACUGGCACUGACAUCUUAUUUGAAACCAACAUCAACAUUUUAAGUCGGAGAACGUGUCGAACUACUGUUCCAAUGCUGAAUGAUGGGAUGAUCUGUGCAGGGAACACAGAAGAGGAAAACGAUGCUAGUCAGGUACAGCUUCAAAAUAUACAAUUUUUUUUGUAAAAAAAAAAAAGCUAAAUGUGCAGUAGCUUUUGUACUAUUAAUCACGGUUGGUGUAUAGAGAGUAAAUGUAGCCUCUGAAUCUCUAUGUCUUAUUACGAAAC